AUGAUUCUUCUAGCCUAGAACUGUCGAGCAUUGGGGUUGGACUCGACAGUGGGCGAACUUCGGGACCUGGUUAGGUCAUACAACCCAGUGGUGGUAUUUCUUUUAGAGACAAAAAAGACGGCUAGAGCGAUGGAGAGGCUCAAAUGGAGUGUGGGGUUUACGCAUGGUGUAGCAAUGGACUGUAAUGGAAAAAGUGGUGGACUAGCGCUGAGGUGGAGAGACCACGUG
rnacentral:rRNA from 1 species